CGACGGCCUGCUCGGCGGUUCUCGCGAGCUGACCCGCCGGGUCGGCGGCGGUCUGCGGGCCCGCGGCUCAGCGCCGCGGCUGGCGC
rnacentral:tRNA from 1 species